CUCGGACCGCGACCCCAGGUCAGGCGGGACCACCCGCC
rnacentral:rRNA from 1 species